CAAAGUCUUCACAGCACAAACUUCAAAAAGAAUCUGCACUGAUAAGAGUUAGCAGUUGAGUUGAAUGAUUUCCUAGAGAUGUCAAGUGUCCAAAGUAACAAAUUUAAACAUUGUGCUUUAAAAAUAUUUAAGACACACACCAUUAAAACCAUGUGAUGAAUUUGACCUUGACAUGGGUUUUUAAUAAGGCUUAUUCCACAUAACUUUUGCUUAAGUUGAACCUUAUUUCACUACUUGUUAACCUCUCCAUUACAUAAUUGUCUGUGCGAGUACUCAUCGCGUCUCCUAACUUAAUAAUACCCGUGAAUUCAAUCAGCAUGAUACCUUUCCACUCCCACAUCUCUAAUAAAAAUGUUAUAUGAGUCUAUAUCCAGCAAAGAUCCUUGUAUCAUGCUUUUUGAAACCUCCUACACUGUAAUCUUUCAUGACAUUUCAGAAAAAGGCUGCAUGCUUCUCUUUACUGCGGAUGGAAAACCAGUCUGGAGAUACAUGAGCACCUGGACUUGCUAGAAGACCCUGCAACACAUCAAAAGAUGAAAAGGAGACUCAUCACAGCUACCUGCCUCUGAGAGACCAGAUUUACGCCUAGCAUCUUUAUGCUUUAUACUGAUGUCACAGGCAAUUCAAAGGGGCUAAAGUGGCCGUCUGCCUAUAAGCACCUGACAAUAUGCUGUUGUAAAGAGCAGAGAACAAAAAGAAACAUUCUAGACUCCAUCAAAGCAGUAGAGUAGGGUAGUGCAGAGCCUUCUCCAGGCUGGGACUGCAUUGCUGGCUUCUAGCAAAAGCUCCGACCUACAAGAGCAGCACAAGCAUAAGAACAUAAGCAGUUAAACUUGGGUUUUUAUUUACUUUGAUUGCUUGGGUUUCUUACAGGUGAGUUUUAACCUUAAUUGACUCUUCGAUCUGGUUCAAGACCUAACAUAGGCAUACGUGGUGACAGUAGAACAGGGAGAGGGCAUGGAGUGGGAAUGAGCAGCCCAGAGAGGCACGACUUUCACUGACUUUCCUGGUUCCAACUGCAUGGGAAAUCCUGGCCUCAGAAGCAGCUGGCAUCUGGGAGCACUGUGCAGAGAGGCUGCAAGAAAUCAUUCCUGUUCUUAUAUUGCUGCAUAGAGCCAGAGCACAUUCUGCCACAUGCACGUAUCAGAGCAUUAUAAAUAAUGCAUUCUUUGAAUCUUGUUACCAAAACAAACAUGCCAUUGUUAAGACACCCUGCCAGCGUCUGUGUGUUGUUACUACUAAAAAUAUUUCUUGGACCUUAAAGUUUCAUCUGUCAGCCUUACAAAGCAAAAGGUAAAGAUAUCAGACAACUAGUUAGGAAUAAAACUUCAGUGGAAACUUCAGGACAAAACACACUUAAGCAAUUUAUUUGUUCAAAUUUUCCUUUUCUUGUAUUUCACUUUGUUUCGCUAUUAGCCCACUGGCUGGUAAUAACUUCCCAUGUGCUCAUUGGAAGAUGAAUGUGUUUUAUUUCACUGUUUAAGUCCCAGAAAUCUUCCCUAUUUCAACCACAUAUGAAGAUAAAAUAUAUUGGUUGGCGAAGUAUGAAUAGGUUGUAGGGAAGGCACAAUCUGCCUGGAUGAGACAUUUACUCUUUUCAUAACGGGAUAGAUCCAGAAUCUUCCAAGUUUCCAUAGGUGCUUAGCUUGUAAUGAAGACAGAUAUUUCAAUUUCUCCAAGUUUUAAGGAAGGAAAAAUAGAAGUAUUAUAGUUAAAGGUCCUUUCUGGCAUUUGUGUAUUAGUUUUAGACAAAAUCCUUAAGUCUUUUCUUAGAGCUAAAUCAUCAUAAAUGGAUAUGCUUGCUGAGGAAAAAAACUAAAAAGCCUAUUUAAAUAGAACAGAGGCCACAGAGGACACAGGGAGGAAAGACAAGGAGUAAAGGAAGGAGACUUGUCAUUCUUAUCCCCUUGAAGGCACUACAUGGUUUGAUGCCUUGGGGCAGCCCCCCACAAAAACUCUGCAUGUUGGCAUCUAUUUCCAUGCCAGGAACUAGGGGAGCCACAGAGGAGUCCCCCCUUUCUCACUGCCAUAUCUACACCUGUACAAAAUCUCAUUCUUUGGUGUGCAUAAGUAACAGCAAUUUAAACAUGGCCUUAUGCUACUUUCUGGGUUUAUUUUCCCAGAGCACUCAUAGCUGCUUUGCUGCUGCUUAUUUGUACUGUGGCAGUGCCUCUUUUCCUAAAGUAUUCAUAUGGUCUUUGUCAUUGCUCUGCUCAAGUUUCUCCCAGUCUCAGAUGUGUUUAUUCACACAACAGUGCUAUGAGAGCACUGCUAUUACCCCCAUCUUGGAGCAAAGAACCCAGGACAUGGGGCUAUCAGGGUUUAGACAAAGGCAAGCAAACAUCUGACUUUCACUGAUAGCAGUGACUUAGAUAUCUAAAUGGAACCUAAAGAGCCAUU